AAAAAAGGUAAGCUACUAAGAGCGAAUGGUGGAUGCCUUGACUGGUAAAGGCGAUGAAGGACGUACUAGACUGCGAUAAGCUACGGGGAGCUGUCAAGAAGCUUUGAUCCGUAGAUUUCCGAAUGGGGCAACCCAAUGUAUAGAGAUAUACAUUACCUAUAUAGGAGCGAACGAGGGGAAUUGAAACAUCUUAGUACCCUCAGGAAAAGAAAUCAAUAGAGAUUGCGUCAGUAGCGGCGAGCGAAAGCGUAAGAGGGCAAACCCAGUGCUUGCACUGGGGGUUGUAGGACUGCAAUGUGCAAGAGGUGAGUUUAGCAGAACAUUCUGGAAAGUAUAGCCAUAGAGGGUGAUAGUCCCGUAUGCGAAAAACAAACCUUAGCUAGCAGUAUCCUGAGUAGGGCGGGACACGAGAAAUCCUGUCUGAAGCUGGGUCGACCACGAUCCAACCCUAAAUACUAAUACCAGAUCGAUAGUGCACAAGUACCGUGAGGGAAAGGUGAAAAGAACCGCGGUGAGCGGAGUGAAAUAGAACCUGAAACCAUUUGCUUACAAUCAUUCAGAGCACUAUGUAGCAAUACAGUGUGAUGGACUGCCUUUUGCAUAAUGAGCCUGCGAGUUGUGGUGUCUGGCAAGGUUAAGCAAACGCGAAGCCGUAGCGAAAGCGAGUCUGAAUAGGGCGCUUAGUCAGAUGCUGCAGACCCGAAACGAAGUGAUCUAUCCAUGAGCAAGUUGAAGCUAGUGUAAGAACUAGUGGAGGACUGAACCCAUAGGCGUUGAAAAGCCCCGGGAUGACUUGUGGAUAGGGGUGAAAGGCCAAUCAAACUUCGUGAUAGCUGGUUCUCUCCGAAAUAUAUUUAGGUAUAGCGUUGUGUCGUAAUAUAAGGGGGUAGAGCACUGAAUGGGCUAGGGCAUACACCAAUGUACCAAACCCUAUCAAACUCCGAAUACCUUAUAUGUAAUCACAGCAGUCAGGCGGCGAGUGAUAAAAUCCGUCGUCAAGAGGGAAACAACCCAGACUACCAGCUAAGGUCCCUAAAUCUUACUUAAGUGGAAAACGAUGUGAAGUUACUUAAACAACCAGGAGGUUGGCUUAGAAGCAGCCAUCCUUUAAAGAAAGCGUAAUAGCUCACUGGUCUAGUGAUUUUGCGCGGAAAAUAUAACGGGGCUAAAGUAAGUACCGAAGCUGUAGACUUGAUUUUAUCAAGUGGUAGGAGAGCGUUCUAUUUGCGCCGAAGGUAUACCGGUAAGGAGUGCUGGAGCGAAUAGAAGUGAGCAUGCAGGCAUGAGUAGCGAUAAUUAAUGUGAGAAUCAUUAACGCCGUAAACCCAAGGUUUCCUACGCGAUGCUCGUCAUCGUAGGGUUAGUCGGGUCCUAAGUCGAGUCCGAAAGGGGUAGACGAUGGCAAAUUGGUUAAUAUUCCAAUACCAACAUUAGUGUGCGAUGGAAGGACGCUUAGGGCUAAGGGGGCUAGCGGAUGGAAGUGCUAGUCUAAGGUCGUAGGAGGUUAUACAGGCAAAUCCGUAUAACAUACUCCGAGAACUGAAAGGCUUUUUGAAGUCUUCGGAUGGAUAGAAGAACCCCUGAUGCCGUCGAGCCAAGAAAAGUUUCUAAGUUUAGCUAAUGUUGCCCGUACCGUAAACCGACACAGGUGGGUGGGAUGAGUAUUCUAAGGCGCGUGGAAGAACUCUCUUUAAGGAACUCUGCAAAAUAGCACCGUAUCUUCGGUAUAAGGUGUGGUUCGCUUCGUAUUAGGAUUUACUCCGAAAGCGAAGAAACUUACAACAAAGAGUCCCUCCCGACUGUUUACCAAAAACACAGCACUCUGCUAACUCGUAAGAGGAUGUAUAGGGUGUGACGCCUGCCCGGUGCUCGAAGGUUAAUUGAUGGGGUUAGCAUUAGCGAAGCUCUUGAUCGAAGCCCGAGUAAACGGCGGCCGUAACUAUAACGGUCCUAAGGUAGCGAAAUUCCUUGUCGGUUAAAUACCGACCUGCAUGAAUGGCGUAACGAGAUGGGAGCUGUCUCAAAGAGGGAUCCAGUGAAAUUGUAGUGGAGGUGAAAAUUCCUCCUACCCGCGGCAAGACGGAAAGACCCCGUGGACCUUUACUACAGCUUGACACUGCUAUUUGGAUAAGAAUGUGCAGGAUAGGUGGGAGGCUUUGAGUAUAUGACGCCAGUUGUAUAUGAGCCAUUGUUGAGAUACCACUCUUUCUUAUUUGGGUAGCUAACCAGCUUGAGUUAUCCUCAAGUGGGACAAUGUCUGGUGGGUAGUUUGACUGGGGCGGUCGCCUCCCAAAUAAUAACGGAGGCUUACAAAGGUUGGCUCAGAACGGUUGGAAAUCGUUCGUAGAGUAUAAAGGUAUAAGCCAGCUUAACUGCAAGACAUACAAGUCAAGCAGAGACGAAAGUCGGUCUUAGUGAUCCGGUGGUUCUGUGUGGAAGGGCCAUCGCUCAAAGGAUAAAAGGUACCCCGGGGAUAACAGGCUGAUCUCCCCCAAGAGCUCACAUCGACGGGGAGGUUUGGCACCUCGAUGUCGGCUCAUCGCAUCCUGGGGCUGGAGCAGGUCCCAAGGGUAUGGCUGUUCGCCAUUUAAAGCGGUACGCGAGCUGGGUUCAGAACGUCGUGAGACAGUUCGGUCCCUAUCUGCCGUGGGCGUAAGAAGAUUGAAGAGAUUUGACCCUAGUACGAGAGGACCGGGUUGAACAAACCACUGGUGUAGCUGUUGUUCUGCCAAGAGCAUCGCAGCGUAGCUAAGUUUGGAAAGGAUAAACGCUGAAAGCAUCUAAGCGUGAAGCCAACUCUAAGAUGAAUCUUCUCUAAGCUCUCUAGAAGACUACUAGUUUGAUAGGCUGGGUGUGUAAUGGAUGAAAGUCCUUUAGCUGACCAGUACUAAUAGAGCGUUUGGCUUAUCUUUAAUAAAGCAU
rnacentral:rRNA from 1 species